ensembl:lncRNA
AGGCUGGGCACAGCCCCUCAGUCCCAUGGCUCCAGAAGGUUAUCUGCAUUCUGCCACUUUCUGUGUAGCUGGUGGACAUCGUCUCUUCACAUAAGAAGAAAAGUCUGAAUAGAAUUUCCCAGCUCUUGAACCCUCUGUUUCCAAGGAGCUAUUCUCUGUGCUACUGUAUGUGGGAAGGCAUUUUCACAAUCCUAGGUCUCUCUUGGCACAUCAAAAGGCAAUGUGAGCUGCCAGCUUUCUGUGUCUGCACCACGAAAACACAAGACAGCACAGUCCACAGAACCAGGGCUGCCCUGUGUCUUGGAUGUCAGAAGUCACCAGAGCAACAGGUUCUGUUCCAAAGCUGUGCUGCGUGGCUGAAGUGUAGCUAGCCAGAGUACAUCAUGUGAGUGCCUCAUUCCACAGUGAGCUAACAGCUGAUGAUACAGGAACAGAAAUUGAAGGAUCA